rnacentral:rRNA from 1 species
CCUACGGGGUGCAGCAGUGGGGAAUAUUGGAUAAUGGGCGAAAGCCUGAUCCAGCCAUGCCGCGUGUGUGAAGAAGGCCUUCGGGUUGUAAAGCACUUUCAGUGGGGAAGAAAGCCUUGGGGCUAAUACCCUCGAGGAAGGACAUCACCCACAGAAGAAGCACCGGCUAACUCCGUGCCAGCAGCCGCGGUAAUACGGAGGGUGCGAGCGUUAAUCGGAAUUACUGGGCGUAAAGCGCGCGUAGGCGGUCUGAUAAGCCGGUUGUGAAAGCCCCGGGCUCAACCUGGGAACGGCAUCCGGAACUGUCAGGCUAGAGUGCAGGAGAGGAAGGUAGAAUUCCCGGUGUAGCGGUGAAAUGCGUAGAGAUCGGGAGGAAUACCAGUGGCGAAGGCGGUCUUCUGGACUGACACUGACGCUGAGGUGCGAAAGCGUGGGUAGCAAACAGGAUUAGAUACCCGAGUAGUC